GUCUAUGGCCAUGCCACCCGGAACAAGCCUGAUGCCUGAUCUCAGAAGCUAAGCAGGGUCGGGCCUGGUUAGUAGUUGGAUGGGAGACCACCUAGGAAAACCAGGUGCUGGAGGCC
rnacentral:rRNA from 1 species